rnacentral:tRNA from 2 species
UCAUAGCUCAGUUGGGAGAGCACCUGCCUUACAAGCAGGGGGUCACAGGUUCAAGUCCUGUUGAGA